GUGCCAGCCGCCGCGGUAAUACCGGCAGCACAAGUGAUGGCCGAUAUUAUUGGGCCUAAAGCGUUCGUAGCUGGCCAGGCAAGUUCGUUGGGAAAUCCACGCGCUCAACGCGUGGGCGUCCAGCGGAAACUGCCUGGCUUGGGGCCGGAGGACUCGAGGGGUACGUCCGGGGUAGGAGUGAAAUCCCAUAAUCCCGCACGGACCACCGAUGGCGAAAGCACUUCGAGAAAACGGAUCCGACAGUGAGGGACGAAAGCCAGGGUCUCCAACCGGAUUAGAUACCCGAGUAGUCC
rnacentral:rRNA from 1 species